rnacentral:rRNA from 1 species
GACAGAGGGUGCAAACGUUGUUCGGAAUUACUGGGCGUAAAGCGCGUGUAGGCGGCCCAGCAAGUCGGAUGUGAAAGCCCUGGGCUUAACCUAGGAAGUGCAUUCGAAACUGCUGGGCUUGAGUUCUGGAGAGGAAGGCGGAAUUCUCGGUGUAGAGGUGAAAUUCGUAGAUAUCGAGAGGAACACCGGUGGCGAAGGCGGCCUUCUGGCCUGUUCUUGACGCUGAGGCGCGAAAGCUAGGGGAGCAAACGGG